rnacentral:ncRNA from 2 species
CGCUUUUGCCAGGGGUGCGUUUAUUCGCUGAGAAAAUGAAAGUCAUUUAACCCUUUGAACCUGUCUGAUUAAUAUCAACGAAGGAAGGCCCAUGAUCACAUCU